CCCCCAGGAGCUGGUUAUUUGGCCUAAUUUCCCUGGUAGGCUUGAUGAAGGGUCAGAAGGAGCAAGAGCUGACAGGGCUAGAGACAAUAUGUCUAGAAGAGGCAGCGGAACCUGGAACAGAAACAGGUGGGCUAGCAUCCGGCGAAAACCAGAAAUAGAAUCAGGAUGCAGGCAGGGUCAGAACCAAGAGACUGAGGUUAACUACUCAAAGCAAUGGAGCAAGACUUGAUGCCCAAACAUCAGUCUGCAGGUGGAAUCUGGGAGACCUGGGGUUAAUGAAGCCUGAAUCCCACACCGAAAGCCCAGGACUCUUCAAGCCAGAAAAAUUUACAACAAACAAACAAACAAAGAAACCAAAAACCCCUCGCAGGGAAGUUGUGGACAUCACCCAUGUGAGAUGUCAUAGGUAGAAUAUUGCUGAACUUAUAAAAGCUUGCAGGAUUGGACUCCUUAAAGGAGUCUUCUUAAUAUUUAGAUAGUUUGGGUGUUUACAAAGACAUUUUUCCAUAAUAAUCGUGUGAAGCAGAUUAUACAGUUUUUAUGAAUGGAGACCUCUUGCCAUUAGAAGAAUUCCAACUCUGCAGUAUUUGGAGAAAGCUGUUGCAGAAGGAGCCUGUCUUGGUACUCUGGAUACACCUGUACAACUAAGAAUUUCAAAGCCCUAGUCCCAACCCUGAUCCUUUGCUGCCCAGUGUGAGUCACCUAUCUCAUGGUCCUGAUGGCACAAGAAGUUUUCACCACCAGUCUGGACAUCUUCUACAGACCUGAGCUCUGGAGUGAGCCAGAGCCCAAUGAGGAAGUGAGAAGCUUGGAGGAGGAGAAGAAGGAGGCAGCAGUAAGGAAAGGACUGCUAAAAGUCAGUUCAGGAAGAAGCAGAAGAGGAGGAAUCCAACUUCUAAUAAGAUAUAUGGAAGACACAGAGAGAUAAAGAAGGGGAAGCUGUGAGGAACCUUUUGAAACUGGAGAACUGAACCAAGGGCAGCUGUUACCAAAAAGAAACGGUCCAGGACUCUGGAAUACAGGUUAUUUUGGCCCAUUAGCCACAAGGAGUAUAGGGAUAGAUAUGACAUGGCUGUAACUAAUACCUUCUCCCUCUUUCUUAAAUUAGUAAUUUUCCUUUUUUCCCUUUUGAUCUCUUCUCAUGGAAGCCUGAAACUCUUUCUUUUGACUAUGGGAAAAAUGUUUUUUUUUU
rnacentral:lncRNA from 1 species